rnacentral:lncRNA from 1 species
AUUAUAGAUAGUAAAUUGGAGGUCAUUUUUUAAGUUAUGUGAAGUUAUUUAUAGAUAGUAAAUUGGAGGUCAUUUUUAGUUUACGUGAAGUUGUUUAAAGAUAAUAAAUUGGAGGUCAUUUUGUAGGUUUUGAUAUAUUAUUUAUAGAUAGUAAAUUGAAGACCAUUUUGCUAGUAAUGUGAAGUUAUUUAAAGAUAGUAAAUUAGAGGUCA